rfam:Clostridiales bacterium 52_15 Ley3_66761_scaffold_2613, whole genome shotgun sequence.
AGAUAUGCGAUGAAGCGGGAGGUUGCGGCUGAGACAUGCCGGUUUUUCCGUGGAGUAUGUCCGAUUUCAAACCGGGCGACAC